GUGGGGAAUAUUGCGCAAUGGGCGAAAGCCUGACGCAGCGACGCCGCGUGAGGGAUGAAGGUCCUCGGAUCGUAAACCUCUGUCAGAAGGGAAGAAGUUGCACUGUGCUAAUCAGCGGUGCAUUGACGGUACCUUCAAAGGAAGCACCGGCUAACUCCGUGCCAGCAGCCGCGGUAAUACGGAGGGUGCGAGCGUUAAUCGGAAUUACUGGGCGUAAAGCGCACGUAGGCUGUAUAUCAAGUCAAGGGUGAAAUCCCCGGGCUCAACCUGGGAACUGCCUUUGAAACUGGUAAACUGGAGUAUGUGAGAGGGUGGCGGAAUUCCUGGUGUAGGAGUGAAAUCCGUAGAUAUCAGGAGGAACAUCAGUGGCGAAGGCGGCCACCUGGCACAAAACUGACGCUGAGGUGCGAAAGCGUGGGUAGCAAACAGGAUUAGAAACCCGAGUAGUCC
rnacentral:rRNA from 1 species